rnacentral:rRNA from 1 species
UAGGGAAUCUUCGGCAAUGGACGGAAGUCUGACCGAGCAACGCCGCGUGAGUGAAGAAGGUUUUCGGAUCGUAAAGCUCUGUUGUAAGAGAAGAACGAGUGUGAGAGUGGAAAGUUCACACUGUGACGGUAUCUUACCAGAAAGGGACGGCUAACUACGUGCCAGCAGCCGCGGUAAUACGUAGGUCCCGAGCGUUGUCCGGAUUUAUUGGGCGUAAAGCGAGCGCAGGCGGUUAGAUAAGUCUGAAGUUAAAGGCUGUGGCUUAACCAUAGUAGGCUUUGGAAACUGUUUAACUUGAGUGCAAGAGGGGAGAGUGGAAUUCCAUGUGUAGCGGUGAAAUGCGUAGAUAUAUGGAGGAACACCGGUGGCGAAAGCGGCUCUCUGGCUUGUAACGGACGCUGAGGCUCGAAAGCGUGGGGAGCAAACAGGAUUAGAUACCCUGGUAGUCCACGCUGUAAACGAUGAGUGCUAGGUGUUAGACCCUUUCCGGGGUUUAGUGCCGUAGCUAACGCAUUAAGCACUCCGCCUGGGGAGUACGACCGCAAGGUUG